CCUACGGGUGGCAGCAGUGAGGAAUAUUGGUCAAUGGGCGCGAGCCUGAACCAGCCAAGUCGCGUGAGGGAUGAAGGCUCUAUGGAUUGUAAACUUCUUUUAUAAGGGAAUAAAGUGAGGCACGUGUCCUAUUUUGUAUGUACCUGAUGAAUAAGGAUCGGCUAACUCCGUGACAGCAGCCGCGGUAAUACGGAGGAUCCGAGCGUUAUCCGGAUUUAUUGGGUUUAAAGGGAGCGUAGAUGGGUUUUUAAGUCAGCUGUGAAAGUUUGAGGCUCAACCGUAGAAUUGCCGUUGAAACUGGGAGACUUGAGAACAGUUGAGGCAGGCGGAAUUCGUGGUGUAGCGGUGAAAUGCUUAGAUAUCACGCAGAACUCCGAUUGCGAAGGCAGCCUACUAAGCUAUCACUGACGCUGAUGCACGAAAGCGUGGGGAUCAAACAGGAUUAGAUACCCUAGUAGUC
rnacentral:rRNA from 1 species